UACGUAGGGUCCGAGCGUUGUCCGGAAUUAUUGGGCGUAAAGAGCUCGUAGGCGGUUUGUCGCGUCUGCUGUGAAAUCCCGAGGCUCAACCUCGGGUCUGCAGUGGGUACGGGCAGACUGGAGUGCGGUAGGGGAGAAUGGAAUUCCUGGUGUAGCGGUGGAAUGCGCAGAUAUCAGGAGGAACACCGAUGGCGAAGGCAGCCAGCUGGGACCAUAUUGACGCUGAGGCUCGAAAGCGUGGGGAGCGAACAGG
rnacentral:rRNA from 1 species